CUCACUGUACUAUUUACACUUUCCCCUCCUAUUUCUCUUUCUCUGUUGAGAGAAGUGAUUGGUCACACACUUCUCGCCACGCUCCAAUCCGCGGCUACCACGGGUAGACGGAAUCAGUGACUAGUCUACGUUUUGGGAAGACGUACUUAAAGAGCUUGCUCUUAAAGUAGCAGUCGAGCACGGUAGACGUUCUGUUCCUUUCUCUCUCUAUGUCUGGGACGCCUUAUAUAGGGUGGAUGGGACAGAAGUUAGAUAAACCCAGUAAGGGUUGGUUAGCAUGUGAUCUAGUGGAAGACAGAGAAGGAGAAGAGAUGGUUAAGAAAGUGAGUAAGAUUGCUAAAGUAUG